rnacentral:rRNA from 1 species
UACGGGGGGGGCAAGCGUUGUUCGGAAUUACUGGGCGUAAAGGGCUCGUAGGCGGCCAACUAAGUCGGAUGUGAAAUCCCCAGGCUUAACCUGGGAACUGCAUCCGAUACUGGAUGGCUUGAAUCCGGGAGAGGGAUGCAGAAUUCCAGGUGUAGCGGUGAAAUGCGUAGAUAUCUGGAGGAAUACCUAUGGCGAAAGCAGGCUACUGGACCGUCACUGACUCUGAUCUGCGAAAGCUAGGGGAGCAAACAGG